UACCAGCACCCCCGAGUGGUCGGGACGUUUAUUGGGCCUAAAGCAUCCGUAGCCGGUUCUACAAGUCUUCCGUUAAAUCCAGCUGCUUAACAGAUGGGCUGCGGAAGAUACUAUGGAGCUAGGAGGCGGGAGAGGCAAGCGGUACUCGAUGGGUAGGGGGUAAAAUCCGUUGAUCCAUUGAAGACCACCAGUGGCGAAGGCGGCUUGCCAGAACGCGCUCGACGGUGAGGGAUGAAAGCUGGGGGGAGCAAACCGG
rnacentral:rRNA from 1 species